rnacentral:tmRNA from 1 species
GGGGAUGUAUUGUCUCGACAGGAUUGCUCUUUAAAAACUGCAAGCUGAUAAGGAAACAUUAAUCAUUAAAUAUUGUUUCAAAACACAAACGGCAAAGAUAUUGCCCGUUACCUGAAGCAGGCAGCUGCUAAGAUCGCAGGAGCUAAUCCAUUCGUGGGUCCGCAACUCGCUUUCCAACCAGCUUACAGCUAAAGGUUGCUUUAGAAAAUGUUCUCCUUCUGACGGAACACUAAAGUACGUACAAAGUCAGGAUGCUGCUGGUAAGGUGUUGGUUGAUCCUUGCUAGUAAAAGACAAUUCAAUCAUUCAUUAGUUUUCCUGCUAAUUGGUUACAACUAUUGAAUAAAAAUUAAUUAGCUAAGCUUGUAGAGGUUUAAAAAGUUACAAUUUUGGACUCGGCUUCACCGCCGACAUCUCCACCA